GUUUGCAAUACUCUGAAUAAUUGUCAAUGUGAUGUUGGAUAUUCUCCAACUUGUAGGCAAGACAGUUCAUCACCAGGAGGAAGUACUGAUGAUAGGUUAUAGAUUUUAGGAAAAAGUACACCCUUAUUUGUGAAACGACAUGCUGUUCCUCAGAAAAAUGGCCUUUUCAUGAGUUCCUACAUUUUUCUACCUUUCCUCAUUUUAACUGCCAUCAUUGGUCUUAAAUGGAAUAAAAUGAAGGGAUUUUGGCACUGAGCAAAAAGCGUAAGUGGAAGAAGUCAGCAGUAGUAGCAGCAACAGUAACAGCAGUAGUGACAGCAACCAGUCAUAGAGUAACUACAUGACAACAUCAAAAACCAUAAGAUAGAGAAAGGAUAUUACCAAGAAAUUUACCAUUAACUGGUUUGAUUCAACAAUGAAAACAAAAAUCGCCUUUUUUCUCCUUUCAUUAUGGCUUAAAGCUUUCAAUUGCACAAACAAAAUAAAUUAUAUGACAGAAAGUA